rnacentral:lncRNA from 1 species
ACUAAGGCUCAGUUUCCUCCAUAAAAUUAAUCAAUAUCAGGGCCUCUGCAUUGGACAACUCCAGAGGGCACCAUUGGGGUUAUACCUUGUGUUUGCCUAACCUUCAUUGCAGUGGGCAGGUGCAUGCUUUCUACAAUGUCCUAAGGUCUAAAGGGGUAGAGUUCUGUGUGUGGCAUUUUAGGCCUGGAAAGGAUGAGAGUCUACAAAACCAGAGAAAUACUGCAGAGCUCCUAAAGUCCUUGGAAUGUCCUAAGUGCCAUUGGUAAGAAGCACACAUGACAACCUGGACUUUCCAUCAACAUUUGAAGCGGGAGCAGUCUUGUGGGAUCAAGCUCUUAACCUGUGGGGUCUGCUACUAACUCUGUGCUUCACGUGACUUUUGAGUUAUAGCUGACUGCCCUAGCUCACAUUUUAGUGCCAGAAGAUCCCAGACCACCACCCAUGAUCCCAGGCUGGAGGAAGCAGCAGGCUAGCGGAAUUCAGGACCAAUGAGCCAGGAAAGAGGACCCAAUGCAGAGCUCACAUCCCACCCUCCUUCCCCCAUGACAAAGCACUGGCAAACCCUGCCAAAGAAGAAGCUUGGCUGCAAAGCAGUCUGGAACUGGACCCGGGAUAGAUUCACCAGGAGCUCACCACCACAGGGAAUGCUGCACUUUGACUGGACAGAAUGCAUCCUCCAUGCCCACAGAGCAUGUGCCCAGGAUGAAUCUCACUGUAUCCCAGUUCCUCAUGCUUGGCCCCAAACCUCUUUUUCACAGUAAUAAAGAAAACACACUUUACAAAAA